rnacentral:rRNA from 1 species
UAGUCCACGCCGUAAACGAUGUUCACUCGCUGUUGGCGAUAUACUGUCAGCGGCCAAGCGAAAGCAUUAAGUGAACCACCUGGGGAGUACGAUCGCAAGGUUGAAACUCAAAGGAAUUGACGGGGGCCCGCACAAGCGGUGGAGCAUGUGGAUUAAUUCGAUGAUACGCGAGGAACCUUACCAGGGCUUAAAUGAUAAUUGACCGUCGCCGAAAGGUGUCUUUCUUUAGACAAGUAUCAAGGUGCUGCAUGGCUGUCGUCAGCUCGUGCCGUGAGGUGUUGGGUUAAGUCCCGCAACGAGCGCAACCCUUGUCUUUAGUUGCCAUCAUUUAGUUGGGCACUCUAGAGAAACUGCCGGUGACAAACCGGAGGAAGGUAAGGAUGACGUCAAGUCAGCAUGCCCCUUACGCUCUGGGCUACACACGUGCUACAAUGGUCGUGACAAAGAGUUGCUAGUCUGCGAAGGCAAGCCAAUCUCAUAAACGCGGCCUUAGUUCGGAUUGC